GGUCGCUUAGCUCAGUUGGUUAGAGCGUGGUGCUAAUACAAUCCCUUGCGGAUGCUGUGAAAAACGCCAAGGUCGCGAGUUCGACCCUCGUAGUGACCA